GAGUUUGAUCAUGGCUCAGGAUGAACGCUGGCGGCGUGCUUAACACAUGCAAGUCGAACGAACCUUCGGGUUAGUGGCGGACGGGUGAGUAACGCGUGGGAAUCUGCCCUCAGGAGGGGGAUAACGGCUGGAAACGGCCGCUAAUACCCCAUAUGCCGAGAGGUGAAAUGAAUUUCGCCUGAGGAUGAGCCCGCGUCUGAUUAGCUAGUUGGUGAGGUAAGAGCUCACCAAGGCAUCGAUCAGUAGCUGGUCUGAGAGGAUGAUCAGCCACACUGGGACUGAGACACGGCCCAGACUCCUACGGGAGGCAGCAGUGGGGAAUUUUCCGCAAUGGGCGAAAGCCUGACGGAGCAACGCCGCGUGAGGGAUGAAGGCCUCUGGGCUGUAAACCUCUUUUCUCAAGGAAGAAGAUCUGACGGUACUUGAGGAAUAAGCCACGGCUAAUUCCGUGCCAGCAGCCGCGGUAAUACGGGAGUGGCAAGCGUUAUCCGGAAUUAUUGGGCGUAAAGCGUCCGCAGGCGGCCCUUCAAGUCUGCUGUUAAAAAGUGGAGCUUAACUCCAUCAUGGCAGUGGAAACUGUUGGGCUUGAGUGUGGUAGGGGCAGAGGGAAUUCCCGGUGUAGCGGUGAAAUGCGUAGAUAUCGGGAAGAACACCAGUGGCGAAGGCGCUCUGCUGGGCCAUAACUGACGCUCAUGGACGAAAGCCAGGGGAGCGAAAGGGAUUAGAUACCCCUGUAGUCCUGGCCGUAAACGAUGAACACUAGGUGUCGGGGGAAUCGACCCCCUCGGUGUCGUAGCCAACGCGUUAAGUGUUCCGCCUGGGGAGUACGCACGCAAGUGUGAAACUCAAAGGAAUUGACGGGGGCCCGCACAAGCGGUGGAGUAUGUGGUUUAAUUCGAUGCAACGCGAAGAACCUUACCAGGGUUUGACAUCCUGCGAACCUCUUGGAAACGAGAGGGUGCCUUCGGGAACGCAGUGACAGGUGGUGCAUGGCUGUCGUCAGCUCGUGUCGUGAGAUGUUGGGUUAAGUCCCGCAACGAGCGCAACCCACGUCUUUAGUUGCCAGCAUUCAGUUGGGCACUCUAGAGAGACCGCCGGUGAUAAACCGGAGGAAGGUGUGGAUGACGUCAAGUCAUCAUGCCCCUUACAUCCUGGGCUACACACGUACUACAAUGCUACGGACAAAGAGCAGCAAGUUCGCGAGGACAAGCAAAUCUCAUAAACCGUGGCUCAGUUCAGAUCGUAGGCUGCAACUCGCCUACGUGAAGGAGGAAUCGCUAGUAAUCGCAGGUCAGCAUACUGCGGUGAAUACGU
rnacentral:rRNA from 1 species